CGCCUCCUGCGCCCUCCAGCCUGUGAAGGCACGAGGGUCUCCCAGCCGUCUUUCCCCUGUCCAGGCAGCAAAGAAGGCUCUUCAGAAACUGAAGGUUAUCUGGCAGCUGGAGGUCAGCUGUGACCAGCAGUGCUGCAGAAUUCUAGGAGGCAUGAGUGGAGGGUGAAAGAGAGAAAUGUGCCAGGAGGAAGGCGCGUCAAGCCAACCACGACCAGGACCGCCUUCCACCUGGAAACCAAUGCCUUCACUGUGGGAGAAGAUGCGGGUCAAGAAUAGGGCUCCACAGCCACCUACAAACCCACAAAAAUAGUCAUCAAGGAAGACCAUCUUACUCGUCUAACGAGGGAUCGCCUAAACAGUGCCGCCAAUAAAAGAAACAAUUCAAAUAUGUAUGGUGCCCAUCUGUUGUUCAAGUAAAUGAAUUCUGCAAGAAGGCAGCUGAGCCCUCUGUCAUCC